ACCAGGCGCAGUUGCGCAUGCCUGUUGUCUCAGCUACUGGGGAGGCUGAGGUGUGAGGAUCGCUUGAGUCCAGGAGUUCUGGGCUGUAGUACGCUAAGCUGAUCGGGUGUCUGGUUCGGCAUCAAUAUGUUUGACCUCCCAGAAGCGGGGGACCACCAGGUUGCCUAAAGGAGGGGUGAACCAGCCUAGGUCAGAAACAGAGCUGUCAAACCUCCCAUACUGAUCAGUAGUGGGAUCACGCCUGUGAAUAGCCACUGCACUCCAGCCUGGCCAACAUUAGUAAUACCGUCUCUU
rnacentral:SRP_RNA from 1 species